rnacentral:rRNA from 1 species
UGGGGAAUAUUGCACAAUGGGCGCAAGCCUGAUGCAGCCAUGCCGCGUGUAUGAAGAAGGCCUUCGGGUUGUAAAGUACUUUCAGUCGGGAGGAAGGUGGUAAGGUUAAUAACCUUAUCAAUUGACGUUACCGACAGAAGAAGCACCGGCUAACUCCGUGCCAGCAGCCGCGGUAAUACGGAGGGUGCAAGCGUUAAUCGGAAUUACUGGGCGUAAAGCGCACGCAGGCGGUCUGUCAAGUCGGAUGUGAAAUCCCCGGGCUCAACCUGGGAACUGCAUUCGAAACUGGCAGGCUAGAGUCUAGUAGAGGGGGGUAGAAUUCCAGGUGUAGCGGUGAAAUGCGUAGAGAUCUGGAGGAAUACCGGUGGCGAAGGCGGCCCCCUGGACAAAGACUGACGCUCAGGUGCGAAAGCGUGGGGAGCAAACAGG